GUGAUUUAGAAUGAGAAGGUUUGGUGGUAUUGUCCUCGUUGCAGUUGCGGUGCUGCUGGGGAUGGCAAGUGUGCUUUGCAUCCCUGCGACAAUGGAUCAUGGUGUUCCUGUGGUGGGGAGGAAGCUCCUGGAGGCCACACCUCAGCAGCCGCUCAUCCAUGCAAGUUCGAGAGAUCAACCGGUUUAUUCGUCACCUACGCCUAAUCCUACUAGAUCACUGUCUGUGCCACCUCCAACUUGAUAGAAGAUAAGAUUUUCUGGAAAUCUCUCUAUUCUGUUGAGAAAAAUUCUCUAUUCUGUUGAGGGAAAUCUUUUCUCCUAAUUUGUAUAAAUAGGAGAGGCAAUAUGUUAAUGUAUUGAAGCAUUUUUAUUUUUUCAAUAAAGUUUUUUUCUUUUUUAAUAAAAUUUCUUCAAUAAUUGUUCUUAUCUUCUAUUAUUUUUUUCACACCUCUAAAUCUGCACCAUCCGCUUGACCCAUAAACAUGUUCUUAUUCACCUACCCGUUUGUUGUUCUGUAAAGAUGACGAUGAAAGAUCCGUUUGUUGUUCUGUAAACAUCUCAAACCGAUGUCGCUUGUCACUGUUCCACUGUAUUCCAAACUAUCUUAGUGUUAUGAACUCCAAGAUUGAGACUGCUGUAUUCUAAAUUAAGGUUGUCAGCUGACAUAGACAAACAUUUCCUCUUUCUUGCACAAACCCCAAACACAGAAGAAAUUGGAAAAGAAAGAGAGAAUGACAAUACUUGGCUGGAGCAUGUUUCUGUAAUCUCCAAGGGCGAUUUUUUCUUCUAUUUCGACCUUUUCAUCCAGUUGUUUAUACAGGAAGCAAGUUUGUAGCUGAACAAAAAAGCUAUCUUGCUUGCUUCGAACUCCAACUACAAGCAAGUUUGUCAUAGGUCUGUCGAUACAACUGCAAUGAUCGACAUUGUGCACACAGUAUGUACCAUCUCAAAAUCACAUGUUGAACACCACCUAAUCACAAGUUGAUUGACUCCACGUUAAGUACAUGUUAGAAUUAAACUUAUCAAAGUGAAAAAGAGUUCUAUCAAAAGAGUCGAACACAUUAAAGGUCUAUAAAAAAAUAAAUCAAAUUAAUUAUUAAUUCAUAAAAAGAGUCUUUUGAAGAAAAAAGAUUCAUAUUAGAUAUAAUAAAUAUAAUAUAUUCAUGAAAACUGUAUAAACCCCAUGUGUUGUGUCACUAAAGAUAUAUAGUUUGUAGUGAGUUUCUUUUACACGAAAUAAAGAAUAUUAUGUUGUCUUUAAUCUUCCUUGUGGGAUAGCUCUAUCUCUCCUUAUCUAUUUCAAUAUUUGAUAUCAAACCUAGGUUAAGUCAUUGCCUCUUCCUCAAGUACUUUCCAAUUUCAAAUCUCUAAAUUGAUUAAAAAAAAUUAUGAUAUAUGUUGUAUUCAAAUGAAAGUUUUUCUAUGCUCCCAAGAUAUAUGAGAGUUUAUAAAAGAUAAAUUUAUUAAACCAAGUCCAAUAGAAGAAGGAGAAAUGAAUAAAGAAAUAACAAAAUAAAUUAAAGAUCAUAGGAAGAAGGAGAGAAAAACUUUGUUCAAAAUUUACUACGGGCUUGAUAAUACAAUGUUCGAGAUCAUCGCUCCAACAAAGACUUCAAAAGAGAUUUGAGAAAUAUUUCAAAAAGCAUUCAGUGGUAUUAUUGAUAAGGUAAAAAAGUUUUAUCUAUAAGUUUUAUAAACUAAGUUUGAAAAAUUACAACAAGAUACUUCAAAAUCUAUUUUUGAUCACUUUUUAAAAAUAAUUUAUAUUAUUCAUUAAAUGAGAAAAAAUGAUAAACAAAUAAGUGAUUAAAGAGUAAUAUAAAAAAUACUAAAAUCUCUAGAUCUAAAGUUUGAUUUUACUGCUAUAGCAAUCGAAGAGUUUAAAGACUUAGAACAAAUAUCUUUAGAACAACUAAUAGGUCCUCUUCGAGUUCAUGAAAAAUACUAUAAAUUAAGCUUACUUUUAGAACAAAAGUGAACAAAAUCUCAAAGAGGAAGAGGUCAAUAGACAAAGAGGAAAAGGUGAUUAAAAUAAGAUCAAUUAAGAAUCUUAAAACAAUAAAAGUGAUAAAAAAAAUUCUAGUCAAAGAGAUUGAAGUUAUAAUCGAGGACAUGAUAGAAAAUUUAAAAGGUUUAAAAUGUAAUGUUAUAUUUACAAAAGGUAUGGACACUACUAUUUUGAAUGUUAUUAUAAUCUUAACAAUCAAGGUGAUAAAACAAAUUUUGUUAAGAAAGAAGAGAAGAAUAAAAAUCCUAUUUUGCUAAUGACUAAUGAUAAUUUGAAAGAAGAUUAGUCAAUGACAUGAAAUCUAGAUACAUAAGCUUUAAAUCAUAUAUGUGGCAUUAAAGAACUUUUUUUCAAAAUAGAUACAAGUUAUUAUGAUAACAUUAAAUUUGGUAAUCUAUCUCAAAGACUAAUAAAAGGGGUAAAAUUUUUCUUAGACUUAAUAAUGGAAAAAAUUAUACAUUUCAGAAGUUUAUUAUUCUAAUAUGAAAAAUAAUAUUAUGAGUUUGGGGCAAUUGCUUGAAAAAGUUUACGAUAUUAAGAUGAAAUAUAUGACUCUUAUAUUCGAAGAAAACAUUAAUCUCACAUGUAAAAAUGAUGAAGAACAAAAUAUUUCCUCUACAUUUAUAUAUUUUUUAUUAGUCAAAUUAUUUUAAAACUGAUAUUGACGAUAAUUCUACAUUAUGAUUUCUUAGAUAUGCUCACUUAAAUUUUGAGGCUUUAAAGCAUCUAGAGAAAUAUAAUAUGAUAAUUAGAUUAUCAAGAAUUGAUCACCAUCAAAGUUAUAUGAAGUGUGUCGUAAGUAAGCAAGAAAAAAAGGCUUUGAAAUUAAAAAGAAUAAAAAAAAAGUAUGAUAUUGACUUGAUCUGGUGCACUCUGAUGUUUUUGGUCAUACUAAUCCAGUAUCACUUGGAGGAAGCAAAUAUUUUCUUAUCUUUACUGAUGAUCAUAGUGAUAAAACUUUGGUGUACAUGUUAAAGAAAAAGAAAAAAAAAAAAAGCAAAUUUAAAGAAUUUAAGAAUUUAAUUGAAUGUUUAAGAACUUAUAAGUGUGGUGAAUAUAUAUCAAAUAAAUUUGAAUUUUUUAUAGAGAUAAUAAAAUUUUAUAUUAAUUCAUCAUGUCGUAUACAUAUCAACAAAAUGAUAUCUCAAAAAGAAAAGAUAUGAUUUCACUUAAUAUGGUCCUAUGCACAUUAAAAGAAAGAAGAAUUUUUAAAGAAUUUUCAAGAGAUGUUCUUACUUGUGCAGAGUUUAUUUAUUUAAUAAGUUUCCAACAAGGCAAAUUGGUAAUGUUAGACUAGAAGAAAUAUGGAGCUUACAUCAUUUGAGAAUUUUUUAGAAGUAUUGUAUUUGCUAAUAUACUAGAAGAAAAGAGAAUUAAACUUGAGGAUAAAGAUUAGAAAUGUACGUUCUAGUAGUUAUAAACUCUAUAAUCCUAUCAUAAAUAAAGUCAUGAUGUCAAGAAAUAUUGAAUUUGAUCAACAAUGGAUUUGAAACAGGAAAAGUGAUGAGCAACAUAAGAUUCUUUGCCUAAAUCGAUCACCUAAAUAGAUUAGGUCAUAUGAUUCAAGAAUUCUGAUUAUAAAAAAGAUUAGAAUGAUUCAAGAGCUAUAUAAUGUGACCAGAAGAAUAAAUACUAACAAUGAUAAGUAUUCUUUAUUAUCUUUGAUAUGAUCUAAUAACCUUCAAAAAAGCUGGUAGAGAAGAAAAAUGAUGACAAGCUAUAAAUGAGAAGAUUCAUGCUAUCAACACAAAAAUAAAAUGCAUAAAGAAAUCUUUAAAACAAAAAGAAAUACACAAUGGAAGGUGAAAAAAUAUAAGGCUUGAUUAAUUGCAAAGGGAUACAAAUAAUAAUAUAUGUUCGAUUAUGAAAAAGUAUUCUCACUAGUAACUCGAUUGGAGAUAGUAAGAAUACUUAUCUCCCUAGCAAUUCAAAUAAAAUAAAAAAAAUUUAUAAAUAGAUGUUAAAUCAAUAUUUCUUAAUGAAUUUCUUAAAGAAAGAAUAUAUAUUCAAGAAUAUCCUAGUUUUAUUAUUCAUGAGUAAGAAGACAAGAUGUACAAGUUAAAGAUGACUCUUUAAAGGCUUAAACAAGCCUCACAAGUAAGAAUUUCUUAAAUAGAUGUUUAUUUUAUUCAAAAUAAUAUUUCUAUAUAUCCAAAUGAACAUGCCCUUUGUAUGAAAUUUAAUAGAGAUAUCCUAUUUGUAUGCAUGUGUGUGAUUGCUUUAAUCUUUACAAGUAAUAAUAUCUUUAUGAUUAAAGAUUUUAAAUAUUUGAUUAAGAAGAAAUUUAAGAUGAUCAACUUGAGCCUAAUGACUUAUUUCCUCGGUAUCGAAGUUAUAUAAGAUAAUAAAAAAAUAUUUAUCUCAUAAAAAAUUUAUGCAAAGAAGAUCCUAAAAAAAAUUUUCAUAAAAGAUUAUCAUCCUACUAAUACACUUAUGGAAUAUGACACAAAGUUGACCAAGCAAGAUGAAGGAAAACUAAUUAAAUGUUUAAUUGUGACGAGUUGGAUAACACAAACUAUUAAAAGAUGUUCGAAGAUAAUAUAAUAAGAGUGUUAAUGUAAAUUUUGAUUGUCCGAAUAUUUUAGUUUGCGCUUAUACAACAGAUGUUGAAUCCCUUCACUUUAGCAUAUGCUAAACUUUACAAAAAUUACAUUGGGAGUAUAUGUGACAAAGUUCCUCCAAUUCUUAAGUUACUCUUGACUGUGAGGUGUCAGCCAAAUUUAGAGUUCAUCAAAACUGAAUGUAUUAGAGAUUGAGAAUCUUAGAACUAUAGGGAACAUACCUGAAAAGACCUUUUAUAGUAUGAUUUCAGAAUAUUUAUGCUCAAAGAUGUGUCUUAAUAUUAGAGACAAGUUGUAUCGUGUUAUAAAUCCAAAGAACGUGCAAUGGUCAUUAAUGUGACUUGUAAUGUUCAUAGAGCGAUGCUAAUUAAUUAUUAGUAUUCUCCAGUAUAGUAUGCAGUGGGAAAGCGUGGACUCUUAAUAAGUUAACCCACUGUUUUCUUCUUAAUAGGAGUCGACCAGUCCUCAUCACCAUAGUAAUGAUCCCAAGAGAAAAUUGACUCCUUCAAACUUGGAAUUGUCUGCACCUCCUCCCUUGGUCCAAGCGUGUGCUUUCCCACAAGAAAACUCUCGGCUAUGAAUCCAUAAAUAAGAGAGCAAAGGAGAUGAGGACACAGUCGAUCGAAGCGGCGGAGAAGUUUAGUGGGAGGUGAUCGGAAAUGGGAAGGUUCGCCUCUUUGCUCCUCGCUGCAGCCGUCGUCGUCGUCAUCAUGUUCAUGGCCACCACUCAUUUCAUCUCUGCAACAUCAUACCAUCCUCCUCCCAUCAAUCCCCACAAGCCAAUGCUCGACGAUAAGCAGACGUUUGCAAGCCUCAGAAGAGGGGGACAACUGCGUCCUCCGGCUCCUGCAACUCACGUGCCUUAUAAUGUUCGUCGAAGGGUGACGCCGCCGCCACCGCGUCGUCGCUGAUACUUGUCUAUCUCUCACUCAUUUGAUGUGUUAAUCCGAUCUAGACAUGCUUGGUGUUGUUGAUGUUUGCUUGAAAUCUAUGGAGUCUGAGUAGUUUUGGUUCCUUGUUGGCAUGAGAAUACUGCACUAUUGUUGUGUAAACGUAAUGCCGCUUUGAUGAUAAAUGCAGCUUUUGGCCUCUAAUUCCGUAAAUGAUUCUGCAGCUUUUGGUCUCUAAUUCUGGAAAUGAUUCGAGCAAGUUUGAUAUGUGUGGAUCUAUGAGCAUGCAUGCUUUGAGAAUUUUUGUGAUUAUUAUUAUUAUUAAUAUUAAUAUUAUUAAUAUUAUUAUUAUUAUUAUUAUUAUUAUUAUUAUUAUAUCACCUACGAGUCUACAAUUUUGUACAACAGAGGGCAUUAAAUUAUUAUCAUUCCUCGAUUUUUUUCCUCAUCCUCGUAAUUCCCAUCAUGAUCUCAAUUAUCAUAUAAUAUCUAUUCCCAGAAUAUUGGAAUAAAUCUUUUCUUGAUGGGUUAAACAAUUUAGAAUUCUUCAAUACUUUUAUGGUUUUUUUCAAUAAUUACAUUUAGCAUGAUAGUCCUAUUUCAAUUCAAAAUUUUAGACCUCUGCUAUAUAUAUAUAUAUAGCCCAGCCAAGUCUCCCAUGUUUGCAUCAGAAGAUACAUACAAGUCCUAGAGAGAGAAAGAGAGAGAAAGGGAGGUGAUGUAGAAUGAGAAGGUUUGCUGGUAUUGUCCUCGUUGCAGUUGUGGUGCUUCUGGGGAUGGCAAGUGUGCUUUGCAUCCCUGCGACAAUGGAUCAUGGUGUUCCUGUGCUGGGGAGGAAGCUCCUGGAGGCCACACCUCGGCAGCCGCUCACCCAUGCAAGUUUAAGAGAUCAACCAGGUCCUCCGUCACCUACGCAUAAUGUUGGUAAAUUACAGUCUGUGCCACCUCCACCACCUAUGCAGCCUGCUCCAUCUGCUUGACCCAUAAGCAUGUUCCUGUCACGUACGCUUCGAUCUAAAGAUGAAGAUGAAAGAUCCGUUUGUUGCUCCGUAAACAUCUCAAAUUGAGGUCCCUUUUCACUUUUCCACGUAUUAGUGUUAUGAACUCCAAGAAGGAGACUGCUGUACACCAUUUCGCGUUUGUGUGUGUGUGCAUAGAUAUCUAUGUAGUGACAGCUGAGAAUAAAGAAAGAGAAUCCAAACACUUCGUAAUUGC
rnacentral:lncRNA from 1 species